rnacentral:rRNA from 1 species
UUCGGGACGCCGGCGAGUGGCGAACGGGUGAGUAACACGUGGAGACCUGCCCUGGGGCGGGGGAUAACAGCUAGAAAUGGCUGCUAAUACCGCAUACGCCUUACGAGGGAGAGAUUUAUUGCCCCAGGAGGGUUCCGCGUCGGAUUAGCUUGUUGGUGGGGUAACGGCCUACCAAGGCGACGAUCCGUAGCUGGUCUUAGAGGAUGAUCUGCCACACUGGGACUGAGACACGGCCCAGACUCCUACGGGAGGCAGCAGUGGGGAAUAUUGCGCAAUGGGGGAAACCCUGACGCAGCGAUGCCGCGUGGGUGAAUAAGGCCUUAGGGUUGUAAAGCCCUUUCAGUGGGAACGAUGAUGACGGUACCCACAGAAGAAGCCCCGGCUAACUCCGUGCCAGCAGCCGCGGUAAUACGGAGGGGGCGAGCGUUGU